CGUCGGGAAAUAUGUGACAAUCAACACGGGUACGGAAUUGCUGCAGCUUCUUUAUAAUGUCACUAGUUGAUAAUUUCAAUGGUCUUAACUUUAAAAAACUUGCAAAGUUUCGUUUAUAUCUACCUGCCAGAGAUAGGUUUUAACAAUAAUACACACGGAAGCGUAAUGUAAAACUACGGAAACUUGUCAGCUGUUCAUUAAACAUCAAAUAUCUUAACCAUAUUCGAUUUUAUUAAUUCUGAAUGAACAUGUUCUCUGCAAAUAACAAAAGGG
rnacentral:lncRNA from 1 species